GACUGACACACCAACUGACUGACCAACUGACAGAUCGACCCACAGACUGCCAGACCUGACUGCCUGACAGACCAACUGAUCAACCAUCUGAUGGACAGACUGAUCAACAGACCAACUAACCACCCGACUGACCGACCGACUGACUGACCAACCACUGCCCCCGCCACAGGCACAGCCCAGGCAGUAGCCACCAGCUGUUGGACACUGGCCAUCACCACCAACCACCGUCCAUUGACCACCAGCCAUCACCACUGACCAUCAGCCACCAGCCAUUGGCCACGGCCAUAAGCCACCGGCUGUCCCCACUGGCCACCAGUCCCAAGACAGAGUGUGGCCACCACUUUGCACACACAGUCCUUCCACCAACUUCCAGGGCAGUCAAGAGAACUGCCCACUGUGGUAUGAAACAGCAGGUGCACUUGCAGGAGCAAGCUGUUGCCAGCCCGCCCUGCACCGGGCCAGACUCUGGUUUGCUGACGCUGUAAAUCCGUGCAGUUGCCGUGUGGGUCCGUGACACGCUCCUUGGACUGACCUCUCCUCUUCACCGUGGCAGUUCCCGGGGCUGGGCUGUGCAAGAGCCGGUGCCGCCGCCCUCGCAGCGCAUGGCCAAGUUUGAGCCAUCAGCCCCUUUGUGGCACGAACAAAGUCGGGGCUGUGGAUAACAAAACCCAGCACAUCUCGAAGGCAACAAACCCCGAGCUGCCCCACACCACCGAGCUGGCCACGGACCAAACUACAACAACGAAGUGGAUUUGAUUUCAAGCAGCAAAUAGAUCCUAAGGAAAUACUCAA